AGCUCCAGUAGCGUAUAUUAAAGUUGUUGCAGUUAAAAAGCUCGUAGUUGGAUCUCGGGUUGUCGACUGUGGUUCAGGUUCAUGCCUGUUUACUGCUGUCGAUACCUAACUGGUGGGAUGCUGUGGGUGCCCUUGACUGGGUCGCCUACUGCACCCGCUCAAUUUACUUUGAAAAAAUUAGAGUGUUCAAGGCAGGCUCACACGCCUGAAUAAUGGUGCAUGGAAUAAUAGAAUAGGAUCUCGGUUCUAUUUUGUUGGUUUUCGGAACUUGAGAUAAUGAUUAGGAGGGACAGACGGGGGCAUUCGUAUUGCGGUGUUAGAGGUGAAAUUCUUGGAUCGCCGCAAGACGAACUACUGCGAAAGCAUUUGCCAAGAAUGUUUUCAUUAAUCAAGAACGAAA
rnacentral:rRNA from 1 species